GAGAGAUUUGACUACAGAAGAGGGGAAGGCAAUGCGAUGACUGAAGCAGACGCAGUGGCAGCCACGAGCCCCAGAAGAGGCAAACAACAGGGAGACUCAACUCUACCGACAUCUUGAUUUUAUCCUUAGUUCCAGGCUGCCCCCCCAGCACAUCUGACACAAGCUGUUCUGAUGAAAUCUAAUGGCUCCAGAUGAAACAGCCUGAAGAAGCAAGUGUAUUUUUAAGGCAUCAAUAUGCUGGUUAUGGAGAGAGCAAGUUUGAAAGAGACCUCGCCACAUGCAGCAUUUACCAUGAGAAUGAAGAAUCUGUUCUGUGUCUGCGGACUCCCUUACCUGAGAUCCAAAAUAGCAGCUCCAGAGCAGGAGAAGGCCAACAGCAAGGGAGCAGAGAGCAGAAAGACGGCCUCCUCUUCCCCACUGCUCACUCAGGCAGGCCUCAGCUGGAGUGGAGGAGAUUCGGAGCUAAGUCACAUUCAGAGUUUUGGAUCAUUAAAAAGGACGAGACUUUGUAAUUGUUGAAUUGCGG
rnacentral:lncRNA from 1 species